rnacentral:rRNA from 1 species
CAGUCGCCGCGGUAAUACGUAGGGUGCAAGCGUUAAUCGGAAUUACUGGGCGUAAAGCGUGCGCAGGCGGUUAUAUAAGUCAGAUGUGAAAUCCCCGGGCUCAACCUGGGAACUGCAUUUGAGACUGUAUGGCUAGAGUGUGUCAGAGGGGGGUAGAAUUCACGUGUAGCAGUGAAAUGCGUAGAUAUGUAGAGGAAUACCGAUGGCGGAGGCAGCCCCCUGGGAUAACACUGACGCUCAUGCACGAAAGCGUGGGGAGCAAACAGGAUUAGAUACCCCCGUAGUCCCUGUCUCUUAUACA